UCAUAGUAGUAUAAUUUAGUAUAUGUGCCUUUUCAAGGCACGGGAGGUAGCUUACCCUAUGAA
rnacentral:tRNA from 1 species